AAUACUGUUAGCUUUUUAUAAUUUAUGCAAAUGCAUGAAAAGGGUUGUCCUGUGGUACGUAUAAUUCAUAUUCUGCAUAAUUCUUCAUUGCCUAGUUGCCUAAUCUUUAACACCUUCUUCUGAAUUCUAAAUACUACAGGGCUACCCUUUUCAUGUGCUCAAUUUGUAUACAUGAUAUAUGUCCUAGAACACAUGGUGGAUCUGGUCAUCCUGAAAAUAGGGCUUUCCUCAGUUUUUUAUACAUUGAAAUUUGCCUGAUUUAUUUGCUGGGCAUAUGUUAUGAUUAAGACCGUAUGACAGCCCAGGUAUGAAAAUUACACCUAUCAUGACAUACCAUUUGCAAAAGUAGACAACCCAGCAUAUUCAGAAUGGGGUAAGUCCGGUCUUUUUUUUAGUAGUCAGUCACAAAUUAGGCCAAAGUUAAUGUUCAUAUUAGUCUUUCACCAAUUAUAUCAAUGUCAUUAUACGUUUUACUGCUCUAAAACACUCAUAUUUGUGUUCACGGUCACAUGUAGCCCAUGGAUCAGCACAGCUAGGGAAGUGGGCCAUGACAGAGCCAGGUGGUAGGCAUAACAGCCACAGGAAGUCUGGGUGACAGCUAACAUGCUGGGUGGGGCGGAGCCACGAUGGGCGUAUUUAUACUG